rnacentral:pre_miRNA from 1 species
UAGCCAAGGAUGACUUGCCUGCUCCUGCUCAUACUAGGGUUGCUGGUAUACAAGUGCAGCCCUUGAGUGUAGGUUUCAGGCAGUCACCUUGGCUAA